CAGUAGCCGCGGUAAUACGAGGAGGGCAAGCGUUGUUCGGAAUUAUUGGGCGUAAAGGGUGCGUAGGCGGUUUGACAAGUCUUAUGUGAAAUCUUCGGGCUCAACCCGAAGCCUGCAUGGGAAACUGUCGAGCUUGAGUAUGGGAGAGGUGAGUGGAAUUUCCGGUGUAGCGGUGAUAUGCGUAGAUAUCGGAAGGAACACCUGUGGCGAAAGCGGCUCACUGGACCAUUACUGACGCUGAUGCACGAAAGCUAGGGGAGCAAACAGGAUUAGAGACCCCAGUAGUCCCUGUCUCUUAUAC
rnacentral:rRNA from 1 species